rnacentral:misc_RNA from 1 species
AACUUUUAGCAAUGGAUCACUUGGUUCUGGCAUCGAUGAAGAACGCAGCGAAAUGCGAUAAGUAAUGUGAAUUGCAGAAUACAGUGAAUCAUCGAAUCUUUGAACGCACAUUGCGCCCGGUGGUAUUCCGCCGGGCAUGCCUGUUCGAGCGUCAUUUAAACCAAUCCAGCCUCGUGCUUGGGUCUUGGGCCUUUCGCCUCUGGGCGGGCCUCAAAAUCAGUGGCGGUGCCGUCUGGCUCUAAGCGUAGUAAUACUCCUCGCUAUAGACGUCCGGUGGUGUCUUGCCAACAACCCCUAAUUUUUAAAGGUUGACCUCGGAUCAGGUAGGGAUACCCGCUGAACUUAAGCAUAUCAAUAAGCGGAGGCU